ensembl:lncRNA
GUCUGGGUCCAGGGCCUGGAGCAUCCCUCAACAGGGCCCUUCUCUGGAUGGGCAGCCAGCCCACUCUCACCGGAGUCAGAGAGCUGAGUUUAGCCUCCUCCUUCCCUGGAGCCUGCUUGAUUAUAGCCCUUUCCCAGCUACCGUUGUAGUCCGGGGCAGAGGACAAUCCUGCCCUGAGGGACUCCUGGCUGCCCAGGGAACUGUCACUCUGGCUGGGAGUCCCACAGGGGGAGAGGUCCCUGUCCCGGCUGCAGAGAGAUGGGGACGAGGGGAGGCCCUGGUAGUGGUAAUGCAGGCCAGAGCCAACGGGUUCCUUGUGAAGGGUUGGCAUCGACGCUGUCCCGUCGUAGAAAGGGGCCUGCACUUGAUCUCUCUGCGCUCGGUCAGGGUUUCCGAAAUAUCUCCCGUUCUCCAUCCUCUCCAGCUCCUGUAACCACCUGUCUAGAUUCUGGCUACCUCCCUCGAUGGCGCUCUGCGGGCGAGGGGUACGACCCAAAUGAACCUUCGGAUGGGGCUCAACCUCUGGGCUGUCAGUGGGGCUUCCUUCAAAAUAGUCCCCACUCUGCAUCUUCUCCAACUCAUACAGCCACUCGUUCAUCUGACGUCUUCCCUCGAUGGCGCUGUGCGGCCGAGGGGUACGAGCAGGGGUAUGUUGAGGGGGAGAUGGAGGCACAAGCUCUACCUUCGACACUUGGCCAGGACUGCUAACUGGGCUUCCUCCUUUAAAAUAGGUCUGACACUGCACUUGGCCAGAACUGCUAACUGGGCUUCCUCCUUUAAAAUAGGUCUGACACUGCACUCUCUCCAACUCCUGCAAACACCUGUCUAGAUUCUGGCUGUGGCUCCCUUCAUCUCUGGCACUCUGUUGCUGAGGAGGGUUACAUCCCGUAAGACCGGUAUGUCGGGGCACCACCUCCACUUCAGACAUGAGUCCGUCCCAAUAGGACGGUUCCCAUGAUCUUCUCCAGCACGGAUCCUGGCCCCUACGGGCCCCCGGGUGGGCAGAUGGCCCACGAAGAUUCAUCUCUCUGGGGAUAAGGUAACCAACAGCUCCCCGUCUCCGGUUUCAGACCCCUGGUUUUGGAUAAAGCUCCUUCUUUACAUCAGCUAUUAACGAGAAGGACCCUCUGGCUGUCCCGGGUUACCAGGCACGCCAGAAAUAUCUGUCCAGGAAUCAGGGGCUACACGGCGGCAGGCAGUAGAUUCAGAUUAUUAAGGAGCUGUUGGAUAUCUGGAAGCAAAAGAACCAUCAUAAUGUAUUAUUGAUUAGGAAGCUCAGAGGAACAGACCUGGAAAUCAACAGCUUCCUGGCUGUGUUAACCACAUCAUCAUCUUAAUAUAAAAUAAUGACACAAACAGAGAUACUAC